rnacentral:rRNA from 1 species
AUUGAACGCUGGCGGCAGGCCUAACACAUGCAAGUCGAGCGGAUGAAGGGAGCUUGCUCCUGGAUUCAGCGGCGGACGGGUGAGUAAUGCCUAGGAAUCUGCCUGGUAGUGGGGGAUAACGUCCGGAAACGGGCGCUAAUACCGCAUACGUCCUGAGGGAGAAAGUGGGGGAUCUUCGGACCUCACGCUAUCAGAUGAGCCUAGGUCGGAUUAGCUAGUUGGUGGGGUAAAGGCCUACCAAGGCGACGAUCCGUAACUGGUCUGAGAGGAUGAUCAGUCACACUGGAACUGAGACACGGUCCAGACUCCUACGGGAGGCAGCAGUGGGGAAUAUUGGACAAUGGGCGAAAGCCUGAUCCAGCCAUGCCGCGUGUGUGAAGAAGGUCUUCGGAUUGUAAAGCACUUUAAGUUGGGAGGAAGGGCAGUAAGUUAAUACCUUGCUGUUUUGACGUUACCAACAGAAUAAGCACCGGCUAACUUCGUGCCAGCAGCCGCGGUAAUACGUAGGGUGCAAGCGUUAAUCGGAAUUACUGGGCGUAAAGCGUGCGCAGGCAGUUUUAUAAGUCAGAUGUGAAAUCCCCGAGCUCAACUUGGGAACUGCGUUUGAAACUAUAAGACUAGAGUGUGUCAGAGGGGGGUAGAAUUCCAAGUGUAGCAGUGAAAUGCGUAGAGAUUUGGAGGAAUACCAAUGGCGAAGGCAGCCCCCUGGGAUAACACUGACGCUCAUGCACGAAAGCGUGGGGAGCAAACAGGAUUAGAUACCCUGGUAGUCCACGCCCUAAACGAUGUCUACUAGUUGUUGGU